rnacentral:rRNA from 1 species
GUUUUGGCAAGCAUGAGAGCUUUUACUGGGCAAGAAGACAAGAGAUGGAGAGUCCAGCCGGGCCUGCGCUUAAGUGCGCGGUCUUGCUAGGCUUGUAAGUUUCUUUCUUGCUAUUCCAAACGGUGAGAGAUUUCUGUGCUUUUGUUAUAGGACAAUUAAAACCGUUUCAAUACAACACACUGUGGAGUUUUCAUAUCUUUGCAACUUUUUCUUUGGGCAUUCGAGCAAUCGGGGCCCAGAGGUAACAAACACAAACAAUUUUAUCUAUUCAUCAAAUUUUUGUCAAAAACAAGAAUUUUCGUAACUGGAAAUUUUAAAAUAUUAAAAACUUUCAACAACGGAUCUCUUGGUUCUCGCAUCGAUGAACAACGCAGCGAAAUGCGAUACGUAAUGUGAAUUGCAGAAUUCCGUGAAUCAUCGAAUCUUUGAACGCACAUUGCGCCCCUUGGUAUUCCAGGGGGCAUGCCUGUUUGAGCGUCAUUUCCUUCUCAAACAUUCUGUUUGGUAGUGAGUGAUACUCUUUGGAGUUAACUUGAAAUUGCUGGCCUUUUCAUUGGAUGUUUUUUUUCCAAAGAGAGGUUUCUCUGCGUGCUUGAGGUAUAAUGCAAGUACGGUCGUUUUAGGUUUUACCAACUGCGGCUAAUC